rnacentral:rRNA from 1 species
AGCGAACGCUGGCGGCAGGCUUAACACAUGCAAGUCGAGCGGGCCCUUCGGGGUCAGCGGCAGACGGGUGAGUAACACGUGGGAACGUACCCUUUGGUUCGGAAUAACGCUGGGAAACUAGCGCUAAUACCGGAUACGCCCUUUUGGGGAAAGGCUUGCUGCCGAAGGAUCGGCCCGCGUCUGAUUAGCUAGUUGGUGGGGUAAUGGCCUACCAAGGCGACGAUCAGUAGCUGGUCUGAGAGGAUGAUCAGCCACACUGGGACUGAGACACGGCCCAGACUCCUACGGGAGGCAGCAGUGGGGGAUAUUGGACAAUGGGCGCAAGCCUGAUCCAGCCAUGCCGCGUGAGUGAUGAAGGCCUUAGGGUUGUAAAGCUCUUUUGUCCGGGACGAUAAUGACGGUACCGGAAGAAUAAGCCCCGGCUAACUUCGUG